AAGGUUUCCGUAGGUGAACCUGCGGAAGGAUCAUUAGUGAAUAAACUUGUGUGAGUUGUUGCUGGCCACCUCGGUGGCAUGUGCACACUUGCCGUUGUUUCAUUCCUUCCCUUCCACCUGUGCACUCAUUGUAGACCACACUGCCGAUCUUUCAGGUCUGUGCUUUUCUGCACUUUCCUGGUGUGAGGACCUGCCUAACCAGGGCUGUCCUUGGGUUGUGUUGGCCUAUGUCCUCAUCAACUCUAUUGUAUGUGACUGAAUGUAUGACCUGGGUCUGUAGACCCAUAAAAUCUAUACAACUUUCAACAACGGAUCUCUUGGCUCUCGCAUCGAUGAAGAACGCAGCGAAAUGCGAUAAGUAAUGUGAAUUGCAGAAUUCAGUGAAUCAUCGAAUCUUUGAACGCACCUUGCGCUCCUUGGCAUUCCGAGGAGCAUGCCUGUUUGAGUGUCAUUAAAUCCUCAACCUCGUCUUCCUUAUGGAUGUAAUGGGGUUGGAUCUGGAAGCCUGCUGGCUCCUUUGGUCAGCUCUUCUGAAAUGCAUUAGCAGGGCCCUAAUAUAUGUGAGGCUGCGGCUUGGUAUUGAUAGUUGUCUUACCAGGUGGCUGCCAAGCUAAGUGCUCAGCUUCAAGCCGGUCUCGUCACUGAGACAAUUUAUUUGACGAUUUGACCUCAAAUCAGGUAGGACUACCCGCUGA
rnacentral:rRNA from 1 species